AGGGAAUCUUCCACAAUGGACGCAAGUCUGAUGGAGCAACGCCGCGUGAGUGAAGAAGGUUUUCGGACCGUAAAGCUCUGUUGUUGGUGAAGAAGGAUAGAGGUAGUAACUGGCCUUUAUUUGACGGUAAUCAACCAGAAAGUCACGGCUAACUACGUGCCAGCAGCCGCGGUAAUACGUAGGUGGCAAGCGUUGUCCGGAUUUAUUGGGCGUAAAGCGAGCGCAGGCGGAAGAAUAAGUCUGAUGUGAAAGCCCUCGGCUUAACCGAGGAAUUGCAUCGGAAACUGUUUUCUUGAGUGCAGAAGAGGAGAGUAGAACUCCAUGUGUAGCGGUGGAAUGCGUAGAUAUAUGGAAGAAUACCAGUGGCGAAGGCGGCUCUCUGGUCUGCAACUGACGCUGAGGCUCGAAAGCAUGGGUAGCGAACAGGAUUAGAUACCCUGGUAGUCCAUGCCGUAAAACGAUGAGUGCUAAGUGUUGGGAGGCUUCCGCCUCUCAGUGCUGCAGCUAACGCAUUAAGCACUCUGCCUGGGGGAGUACGACCGCAAGGUUGAA
rnacentral:rRNA from 1 species